UGCUUUGUAGUUAACUAACACUAAAAAUGGGUAACUAUUUUUUCACAAAGGACCAAAUCUUUAGCAGCUGAAGUGUCAAGUGUGUGGACUAAGAGGCACAGUGGGCUGGACUUCUCUCUAAUCUCAAGUCUCAAUUAUGCAAAGAGUCCCACAUUGCUCAUAUGGCAAGUGCUAUAUAUGUUUAUAUACUCUAAUGUCAGGACGUAUGCUCGUCCCUUCGGGGACAUCCGAUAAAAUUGGAACGAUACAGAGAAGAUUAGCAUGGCCCCUGCGCAAGGAUGACACGCACAAAUCGAGAAAUGGUCCAAAUUUUUUUUCCAAAUCUGUCCUGUUUUUCCUUAUGAUUCAUUCACCCAAGCACCUCUGCAAAUCUCUCCGAUUUCAUCAACUUUUUUUCCUUCAGUAAUGGAAUGGUUAUCCUCUUGUGCUGUUGAGCCAAUAUGAUGGUCUCGAAGUCUUUCGCUUAAACUAUUGAGGUAAGAUUUUUGAAAGACUCGGAAUAUUUUCGUGUCCAAAAUUAUUUGUUGCUUUUAUUACAAUAAGUUCACUGAGGAGAUUCAUAGUUUUAUGCAUCGAGUGUUUAUGUGUUUAGACAUCUUCAGUGAGAAGGAUAUUGUCCCCACCUCUGUGAAGGUUGAAUUGAUUAAAAUGCUAGUCUCUAAGUUUUGUCUCACCAAAAUGGGUUCCACAGUAAACAAUUUGGUAAUUAUGUGGAGAAAUGAAUGCAUUCAAAGGGGUUAUUUUUCUCCUCUGCACCUUUUCAUUCUUUGUUUUUAUUGUCAUUCUUCUUAUGUGUCUCAGUUAAUGCCAUUACUUUCACUUAAGCUUUUUGUGUGAGUUGUAGACUUGUAGCUGCGUUGGUUGCUAGAGAAAUGUAAAAGGCAUUAUUUUUACUUGUUCCUGCUUCUUUUCAUGGUGUGGACUUUUUUGUCAAUUUUUUUUCUCAUUGAGAAUCACUGUGUAUCUGCUUAUUUUAUCUUAUCAUUUUUUGUAUCGUAGUUUCUUUAGUUUGUCAAUUUUGCUUUUCAUGGUUGGAGUUCUAAACCUUUCUCAUCUUUAGUUUGAUGGACUUAUAUUUCACUGGUAUCUUGUUUCUCUUUAAGCUAUCAGAUGCUAAGGAUGUAAUGGAAGCAAUUCAAGAUGUUGACAAGCAAGUCUGAGAACAGACUAAAGAAUUUACAACCAGAAAAUUACAAUAAAAAAACUACAGUUUCUAACUAAAACAGCAAAAAAUAAACCCUUAAACUCCUUUACAUUCAAUACUCAUGUAGCUGCCCAAUAUCUGAAUUUAUUCCACAGAUGAGGAGAAGUCUCCUCAGUGUGGUGGUUCAAACUCUUCCCACUUUACUUCCACAGAACACAUCACCUGGGUGACUUUUUUUUUUAAUAAGAAAUAGUUUGUUGCUUCCCAUUUGUAAAAUUAGCCCAGCUGGGGUUUGAACCAGAGAGCUCUUACACACAACACACACCCAUGUGUUUAAUAAUGCAUCUUUACCUGGAUUCGUUAUUGUAAUGCACGGGGCUAAGGAUUAGACAGAUCAGAUAGAGAGGGUUUUCCUUUUCCUGAACAUUGAUGAAAAGCAUGUCAUCAGAGUCUGCGAAUCUGAUGCUACGUAUGGUUGAUUUUCAUUGAUGAAGGUUAUAAUUGGUUAUGACUAUAUGACCGCUAAGGAAUCAAAAGGUCGUUCAUUCUCAA